CACACACAGGCCCUCCUCAGUGGGGACACACAGACAGACGCCACCUCUUUCUACGACCGCGUCUGGGCCGCCAUCAGGGACAAGUACCGGUCCGAGGCACUGCCCACCGACCUUCCAGCACCUUCUGCCCCUGACUUGACGGAGCCCAAGGAGGAGCAGCCGCCAGUGCCCUCGUCGCCCACAGAGGAGGAGGAGGAGGAGGAGGAGGAGGAGGAAGAAGAGGCUGAAGAAGAGGAGGAGGAGGAGGAUUCCGAGGUGCAGGGGGAGCAGCCCAAGGUCCGUGUUUGGGGGAGAAGUGGAGACAGAGAGGGUGGGGGAAGGGCUACUCACUGACCCUGCCCCUGCCCCAGGAGGCCCCACCGCCACUGUCACCCCCGCAGCCGGCCAGCCCUGCUGAGGAAGACAAAAUGCCGCCCUACGACGAGCAGACGCAGGCCUUCAUCGAUGGUGAGGGUGGGCGGGGGCCAGGCUCCUCGGGUGGGCCCAGCGUUUCCUGCCGUGGUGGCACAGGUCGAGGGAAGAUCCUGAGCUUAGACCCUGCUCUGACUCGGCCAGCACAAGCCCCAGUAUCUUGGGGAGUCCAGGAAGGGGGCCUAGG
rnacentral:lncRNA from 1 species